rnacentral:rRNA from 1 species
GACAAUGGGCGCAAGCUGAUCCAGCAAUGCCGCGUGUGUGAAGAAGGCCUUCGGGUUGUAAAGCACUUUCAAUAGGGAGGAAAAGCUGUGAGCUAAUACCUUACAGCCGUGACGUUACCUAUAGAAGAAGCACCGGCUAACUCGUGCCACAGCBNGGUAAUCGCUGC